rnacentral:rRNA from 1 species
CGAGCGGACCGACGGGAGCUUGCUCCCUUAGGUCAGCGGCGGACGGGUGAGUAACACGUGGGUAACCUGCCUGUAAGACUGGGAUAACUCCGGGAAACCGGGGCUAAUACCGGAUGCUUGAUUGAACCGCAUGGUUCAAUCAUAAAAGGUGGCUUUUAGCUACCACUUACAGAUGGACCCGCGGCGCAUUAGCUAGUUGGUGAGGUAACGGCUCACCAAGGCGACGAUGCGUAGCCGACCUGAGAGGGUGAUCGGCCACACUGGGACUGAGACACGGCCCAGACUCCUACGGGAGGCAGCAGUAGGGAAUCUUCCGCAAUGGACGAAAGUCUGACGGAGCAACGCCGCGUGAGUGAUGAAGGUUUUCGGAUCGUAAAACUCUGUUGUUAGGGAAGAACAAGUACCGUUCGAAUAGGGCGGCACCUUGACGGUACCUAACCAGAAAGCCACGGCUAACUACGUGCCAGCAGCCGCGGUAAUACGUAGGUGGCAAGCGUUGUCCGGAAUUAUUGGGCGUAAAGCGCGCGCAGGCGGUUUCUUAAGUCUGAUGUGAAAGCCCCCGGCUCAACCGGGGAGGGUCAUUGGAAACUGGGGGAACUUGAGUGCAGAAGAGGAGAGUGGAAUUCCGCGUGGGAGCGGU